rnacentral:rRNA from 1 species
GGUUAAGCGACUAAGCGUACACGGUGGAUGCCCUGGCAGUCAGAGGCGAUGAAGGACGUGCUAAUCUGCGAUAAGCGUCGGUAAGGUGAUAUGAACCGUUAUAACCGGCGAUUUCCGAAUGGGGAAACCCAGUGUGUUUCGACACACUAUCAUUAACUGAAUCCAUAGGUUAAUGAGGCGAACCGGGGGAACUGAAACAUCUAAGUACCCCGAGGAAAAGAAAUCAACCGAGAUUCCCCCAGUAGCGGCGAGCGAACGGGGAGCAGCCCAGAGCCUGAAUCAGUGUGUGUGUUAGUGGAAGCGUCUGGAAAGGCGCGCGAUACAGGGUGACAGCCCCGUACACAAAAAUGCACAUGCUGUGAGCUCGAUGAGUAGGGCGGGACACGUGGUAUCCUGUCUGAAUAUGGGGGGACCAUCCUCCAAGGCUAAAUACUCCUGACUGACCGAUAGUGAACCAGUACCGUGAGGGAAAGGCGAAAAGAACCCCGGCGAGGGGAGUGAAAAAGAACCUGAAACCGUGUACGUACAAGCAGUGGGAGCACGCUUAGGCGUGUGACUGCGUACCUUUUGUAUAAUGGGUCAGCGACUUAUAUUCUGUAGCAAGGUUAACCGAAUAGGGGAGCCGAAGGGAAACCGAGUCUUAACUGGGCGUUAAGUUGCAGGGUAUAGACCCGAAACCCGGUGAUCUAGCCAUGGGCAGGUUGAAGGUUGGGUAACACUAACUGGAGGACCGAACCGACUAAUGUUGAAAAAUUAGCGGAUGACUUGUGGCUGGGGGUGAAAGGCCAAUCAAACCGGGAGAUAGCUGGUUCUCCCCGAAAGCUAUUUAGGUAGCGCCUCGUGAAUUCAUCUCCGGGGGUAGAGCACUGUUUCGGCAAGGGGGUCAUCCCGACUUACCAACCCGAUGCAAACUGCGAAUACCGGAGAAUGUUAUCACGGGAGACACACGGCGGGUGCUAACGUCCGUCGUGAAGAGGGAAACAACCCAGACCGCCAGCUAAGGUCCCAAAGUCAUGGUUAAGUGGGAAACGAUGUGGGAAGGCCCAGACAGCCAGGAUGUUGGCUUAGAAGCAGCCAUCAUUUAAAGAAAGCGUAAUAGCUCACUGGUCGAGUCGGCCUGCGCGGAAGAUGUAACGGGGCUAAACCAUGCACCGAAGCUGCGGCAGCGACGCUGAUGCGUUGUUGGGUAGGGGAGCGUUCUGUAAGCCUGCGAAGGUGUGCUGUGAGGCAUGCUGGAGGUAUCAGAAGUGCGAAUGCUGACAUAAGUAACGAUAAAGCGGGUGAAAAGCCCGCUCGCCGGAAGACCAAGGGUUCCUGUCCAACGUUAAUCGGGGCAGGGUGAGUCGACCCCUAAGGCGAGGCCGAAAGGCGUAGUCGAUGGGAAACAGGUUAAUAUUCCUGUACUUGGUGUUACUGCGAAGGGGGGACGGAGAAGGCUAUGUUGGCCGGGCGACGGUUGUCCCGGUUUAAGCGUGUAGGCUGGUUUUCCAGGCAAAUCCGGAAAAUCAAGGCUGAGGCGUGAUGACGAGGCACUACGGUGCUGAAGCAACAAAUGCCCUGCUUCCAGGAAAAGCCUCUAAGCAUCAGGUAACAUCAAAUCGUACCCCAAACCGACACAGGUGGUCAGGUAGAGAAUACCAAGGCGCUUGAGAGAACUCGGGUGAAGGAACUAGGCAAAAUGGUGCCGUAACUUCGGGAGAAGGCACGCUGAUAUGUAGGUGAAGUCCCUUGCGGAUGGAGCUGAAAUCAGUCGAAGAUACCAGCUGGCUGCAACUGUUUAUUAAAAACACAGCACUGUGCAAACACGAAAGUGGACGUAUACGGUGUGACGCCUGCCCGGUGCCGGAAGGUUAAUUGAUGGGGUCAGCGCAAGCGAAGCUCUUGAUCGAAGCCCCGGUAAACGGCGGCCGUAACUAUAACGGUCCUAAGGUAGCGAAAUUCCUUGUCGGGUAAGUUCCGACCUGCACGAAUGGCGUAAUGAUGGCCAGGCUGUCUCCACCCGAGACUCAGUGAAAUUGAACUCGCUGUGAAGAUGCAGUGUACCCGCGGCAAGACGGAAAGACCCCGUGAACCUUUACUAUAGCUUGACACUGAACAUUGAGCCUUGAUGUGUAGGAUAGGUGGGAGGCUUAGAAGUGUGGACGCCAGUCUGCAUGGAGCCGACCUUGAAAUACCACCCUUUAAUGUUUGAUGUUCUAACGUUGACCCGU